CGAACGAUGAAGCCCUUCGGGGUGGAUUAGUGGCGAACGGGUGAGUAACACGUGGGCAAUCUGCCCUUCACUCUGGGACAAGCCCUGGAAACGGGGUCUAAUACCGGAUAAUACUUUCUCUCUCAUGGGGGAAGGUUAAAAGCUCCGGCGGUGAAGGAUGAGCCCGCGGCCUAUCAGCUAGUUGGUGGGGUAAUGGCCUACCAAGGCGACGACGGGUAGCCGGCCUGAGAGGGCGACCGGCCACACUGGGACUGAGACACGGCCCAGACUCCUACGGGAGGCAGCAGUGGGGAAUAUUGCACAAUGGGCGAAAGCCUGAUGCAGCGACGCCGCGUGAGGGAUGACGGCCUUCGGGUUGUAAACCUCUUUCAGCAGGGAAGAAGCGAAAGUGACGGUACCUGCAGAAGAAGCGCCGGCUAACUACGUGCCAGCAGCCGCGGUAAUACGUAGGGCGCAAGCGUUGUCCGGAAUUAUUGGGCGUAAAGAGCUCGUAGGCGGCUUGUUGCGUCGGUUGUGAAAGCCCGGGGCUUAACCCCGGGUCUGCAGUCGAUACGGGCAGGCUAGAGUGUGGUAGGGGAGAUCGGAAUUCCUGGUGUAGCGGUGAAAUGCGCAGAUAUCAGGAGGAACACCGGUGGCGAAGGCGGAUCUCUGGGCCAUUACUGACGCUGAGGAGCGAAAGCGUGGGGAGCGAACAGGAUUAGAUACCCUGGUAGUCCACGCCGUAAACGUUGGGAACUAGGUGUUGGCGACAUUCCACGUCGUCGGUGCCGCAGCUAACGCAUUAAGUUCCCCGCCUGGGGGAGUACGGCCGCAAGGCUAAAACUCAAAGGAAUUGACGGGGGCUCGCACAAGC
rnacentral:rRNA from 1 species